rnacentral:tRNA from 1 species
GCAGGAGUGGUGGAACUGGCAGACACGCACGUUUGAGGGGCGUGUGGGGUAACCCAUGGGGGUUCGAGUCCCCCCUUCUGCA